rnacentral:tRNA from 1 species
AGUGAAUAUAGUUUAUUGAAAAUUUUAGUCUGUGAAUCUAAAGAUAAGGGCUAACCACCCUUUAUUCACCG